UACGUAGGGGGCUAGCGUUGUCCGGAUUUAUUGGGCGUAAAGAGCGUGUAGGCGGCCAGGUAGGUCUGCUGUGAAAACUCGAGGCUCAACCUCGAGACGUCGGCGGAAACCAUCUGGCUAGAGUCCGGAAGAGGCGAGUGGAAUUCCUGGUGUAGCGGUGAAAUGCGCAGAUAUCAGGAGGAACACCUAUUGCGAAGGCAGCUCGCUGGGACGUAACUGACGCUGAGACGCGAAAGCGUGGGGAGCAAACAGG
rnacentral:rRNA from 1 species